AAGGAAUAUUGGUCAAUGGACGCAAGUCUGAACCAGCCAUGCCGCGUGGAGGAUGAAGGUCCUCUGGAUUGUAAACUUCUUUUAUCUGGGAAGAAACCCAUAGAUUUUUCUGUGGUUGACGGUACCAGAUGAAUAAGCACCGGCUAACUCCGUGCCAGCAGCCGCGGUAAGACGGAGGGGGCUAGCGUUGUUCGGAAUUACUGGGCGUAAAGCGCACGUAGGCGGCCCUUCAAGUCAGAUGUGAAAGCCCCGGGCUUAACCCGGGAAUUGCAUUUGAUACUGUUGGGCUUGAGACCGGGAGAGGAUAGCGGAAUUCCCAGUGUAGAGGUGAAAUUCGUAGAUAUUGGGAAGAACACCAGUGGCGAAGGCGGCUAUCUGGACCGGUACUGACGCUGAGGUGCGAAAGCGUGGGGAGCAAA
rnacentral:rRNA from 1 species